rnacentral:rRNA from 1 species
GACGAACGCUGGCGGCGUGCUUAACACAUGCAAGCCGAACGGUAAGGCCCUUCGGGGUACACGAGUGGCGAACGGGUGAGUAACACGUGGGUGAUCUGCCCUGCACUUCGGGAUAAGCCUGGGAAACUGGGUCUAAUACCGGAUAGGACCCUGGGAUGCAUGUCCUGGGGUGGAAAGCUUUUGCGGUGUGGGAUGGGCCCGCGGCCUAUCAGCUUGUUGGUGGGGUGAUGGCCUACCAAGGCGACGACGGGUAGCCGGCCUGAGAGGGUGACCGGCCACACUGGGACUGAGAUACGGCCCAGACUCCUACGGGAGGCAGCAGUGGGGAAUAUUGCACAAUGGGCGCGAGCCUGAUGCAGCGACGCCGCGUGAGGGAUGACGGCCUUCGGGUUGUAAACCUCUUUCAGCACCGACGAAGCGCAAGUGACGGUAGGUGCAGAAGAAGGACCGGCCAACUACGUGCCAGCAGCCGCCGCAG